ACGCAUGACGUACAUUACAGUCAUCAUUCUUCUCACCGGUGCGAGGUCUGGUCCUGGAACACACUGCUUUUUAUUUCAGUAUUUCCAGUUAAUUAACCACGACCAAACAGGGUCCUUCCUUCUUUAUUUUUAUUUCUCACAUUUGGAAACCCCACAAGCUACAAAACUGACGUUCCUUCGGUGAAGGUCGCUUUUGCCUACCCCCACCCAUUGAAUAUUAUUAUUUUCGGGAAUUCAUCGUUGUCAAGCCGCCAAAGUGGAGAGUGUGAUUGCAGAAGGGGGUGCUUCUCGUUUCAGUGCUUCUUCGGGUGGGGGAGGAGGUCGGGGUGCCUCUCAGUACCAUCCCAAGACUGUCGGCAACAG